UACCGUGGAUGCCACGUCGGUCGAAGGGAUCCCUUCUCGUCUUGCCAAGCAUGAAGCGAUCGAAGAGCCGAGGAUCAUUGGCGAGCAUUCUUUACCAUCCAUAUAAGAUGGAGUUUAAUCGGUCCGAAUCAGACCAACAGAUCUCGCUUUUUGGGGCCUUCUCCAUUAAGGUCAACACAGUUCCCGAUUAGUAAUUACUGCUUUCCAUUGGGUUUGAUCGGCGAUUUCCUUUCCUCAUUUAAACUUUAGGUCAAAGGAAUAUCUGGUUUCUGACCAUUGCAGUUCAUUCAGAUGGUUUGAAUAAUUUUGCUGGAAAUGGAAAAAUCUUGCUGGUUUGUUGAAGCUUUCAACCGAGGAUCCUUAUAUGUUCUAUGAAUAUGAUCACUUGUGUGAGGUUUAUUGAUCUGUGCCAGUUUUAAUUCACAAACCUUAAUUUCACAGUUUAUUGCGUCAGUUACACUGUAAUCUUAUGCUCCGGUGAUGAAAUUUCUAGGAGAUUAAAUUCAAUUUCAUUACUCUCAGGUUUCAGUUCACGUUGUACAUUUCUGGUAAAAUGGAGGACAAAUGUGACUCCGUAGGCAAUGUAAAUAGAGCGGAAGUAAACGAGGAGUUUUACGUGAAGAUCAAAGCAGAAGAGACUGAUGCAAGAGCAUAAAAAGGAGGAGAAGAAAGAGUUGGAUAUUGAAAUAAUCACAAAAUUCGUGGAAAAGUAGAAGAUUAAGCAUGGGGAUAAGGAUAGUUUUUCACUGGCAUCCGGCGGCCAAUUCAGAAGUUCAAUAUCUUUUAUUGUGUCUUUUAUUUGAAAAAAAAAUUCUUACAAAUAUAUCAUAGGGAUUGAACUAUGGAUAUCUAGAUGACAAUAAGAAAGUGGAUAAGCAUGAGAUGAAUGGGGAUUCAUAGGGAAGUGAAGGUAGAAUAUGAGAAGUAGAAAAAUGAAAUAGAAGGAGAAGAAGUUGAAGAAAGCUGAGGAGGUAAAAACAGAAAGUGAGCACGGAAAGGAUAAACACAGAUCUGAAAGAUUGGAGGAUGGGGAUGAUGAAUCAAAGGAAAAGAAGGAAAAGGACAAGAAAGAUGAGAAUAACAAGGAUGAUAGAUGGUAAGCGUAGGAGGAGGAGGAGGGUGGUCGAGAGGAUGAUUUCAAAGAAAAGAAAAAGAGAGACGAAUUGAAGGAAAAGAAGAAAAGACAAAGGUGAAGCACCAAACGAAAAGUAAGGAUGAAGAGGGUGAAUCAAAAGACAAGGAUGAAGAGAAAAAACGACUAUGAAGAUGAUGGCUUGAAGAAAAGAAGAAAAGCAAGGAUGAAGAUGUUGAACGGAGAGACAAACCAAGGACAAGGAUAAUGAAUGAAAG